rnacentral:rRNA from 1 species
AACCUGGUUGAUCCUGCCAGUAGUCAUAUGCUUGUCUCAAAGACUAAGCCAUGCAUGUCUAAGUAUAAAUGUUAUACAGUAAAACUGCGAAUGGCUCAUUAAAACAGUUAUAGUUUAUUUGGUACUCGAUUUACAUGGAUAACCGUAGUAAUUCUAGAGCUAAUACAUGCGUAAACACCCAACUCUCGUGGACGGGUGGUAUUUAUUAGAUUGAAACCAAUAGGUCUCGGCCUUCUUGGUGGUGAUUCAUAAUAACUUUGCGGAUCGCAUGGCCUUGGUGCCGGCGACAGAUCAUUCAAGUUUCUGCCCUAUCAGCUUUGGAUGGUAAGGUAUUGGCCUACCAUGGCUUUAAC